rnacentral:tRNA from 1 species
GCUCCAGUGGCGCAAUCGGUUAGCGCGAGGUACUUAUAUGGCAGUAACUGUUGGGCAAUGCCGAGUUUGUGAGUUCAAGCCUCACCUGGAGCA